GUUUGAUUCUGGCUCAGGAUGAACGCUGGCGGCAUGCCUAAUACAUGCAAGUCGAACGGAGUGAAGCCUUCGGGUUUCAUUCAGUGGCGAACGGGUGAGUAAUACGCAGGGAACCUGGCCAUGGCAGGGGGAUACACUCUGGAAACGGAGCAUAAGACCCCAUAGGCAGUAAGGCGGCAUCGCCUUACUGUUAAAGAAAGCUGAAAGGCUUUGGCGAUGGAUGGACCUGCGGUGCAUUAGCUUGUUGGUGAGGCAACGGCUUACCAAGGCGAUGAUGCAUAGCCGGCCUGAGAGGGCGGACGGCCACACUGGGACUGAGACACGGCCCAGACUCCUGCGGGAGGCAGCAGUAGGGAAUUUUCGUCAAUGGGCGCAAGCCUGAACGAGCAAUGCCGCGUGAGUGAGGAAGGUCUUCGGACUGUAAAGCUCUGUUGCCGGGGAAAAAGGGGAAAUGCAGGAAAUGGCAUUUCAUGGAUGGUACCCGGCCAGAAAGCCACGGCUAACUACGUGCCAGCAGCCGCGGUAAUACGUAGGUGGCGAGCGUUAUCCGGAAUGAUUGGGCGUAAAGGGUGCGCAGGCGGUCUGUUAAGUCUGAAGGCAAAGGGAUGAGCUCAACUCAUUUAUGAUUCAGAAACUGGCAGACUUGAGGACAGGAGAGGGCGGUGGAACUCCAUGUGUAGCGGUAAAAUGCGCAGAGAUAUGGAAGAACACCAGUGGCGAAGGCGGCCGCCUGGCCUGUGACUGACGCUGAGGCACGAAAGCGUGGGGAGCAAAUAGGAUUAGAUACCCUAGUAGUCCACGCCGUAAACGAUGAGGAGCAGGUGUUGGGAGUGAAAUCUCAGUGCCGAAGCCAACGCAGUGACUCCUCCGCCUGGGGAGUAUGCACGCAAGUGUGAAACUCAAAGGAAUUGACGGGGGCCCGCACAAGCGGUGGAGUAUGUGGUUUAAUUCGAAGCAACGCGAAGAACCUUACCAGGUUUUGACAUCGGAUGCGAAGGCGCAGAGAUGCGCUGGAGGCUAUCAUCCAGACAGGUGGUGCAUGGUUGUCGUCAGCUCGUGUCGUGAGAUGUUCAGUUAAGUCUGGCAACGAGCGCAACCCCCGUGGUAUGUUACUAACGCUUUAGGGCGAGGACUCAUAUCAGACUGCCGGUGACAAACCGGAGGAAGGCGGGGAUGACGUCAAAUCAUCAUGCCCCUUAUGACCUGGGCUACACACGUACUACAAUGGCGUCUACAGAGGGAAGCGACCCUGAGAAGGGAAGCGAAACCGGAAAAGGGCGUCCCAGUUCGGAUUGAAGUCUGCAACCCGACUUCAUGAAGAUGGAAUCGCUAGUAAUCGCGGAUCAGCAUGCCGCGGUGAAUACGUUCCCGGGCCUUGUACACACCGCCCGUCAAACCAUGGAAGCCGGCAACGCCCGAAGCCGGUGGCAUAACCUUUUAGGAGUGAGCCGUCGAAGGCGGGGCCGAUGACUGGGGUUAAGUCGUAACAAGGUACCC
rnacentral:rRNA from 1 species